rnacentral:lncRNA from 1 species
UAGGAGUUUACAAUGCUGGAUGACGAGGUUCUUGAAACUUCUGUCCUCAUUUCAGUCAGGUGGAAGUUGGAACACACACACUCACGAUGCAAAUUUUCUCUAUCUUCUCUCUUUCAGGUACUUUUUCUUUCUUCCUUUCUUAUCAAUUAGGGUUUUGUGCUUUCCUGAGUGAUUAAUCUAUAAGGAGAAGAUCUCUGAUAUAUAGAUGAACAGUAACUUCUACUGUUCUUGACAGGCUUACCAUGAGGCAGAAAGAUCCAUUUUCUGGUGUUAGAUUUGUAACAAACAAUCAGCUGAUCAGAUAGCAUCUCUUAAAACUUCCAUCUCCCAAAUUUUACCAAGACAUGGUUGAAUCUUUUGGCCCUAUCUACUAAGUUCCAAGGCUAAGAGAAGUAGAACAAAAUUUCAGCUUCUCAAUUGUAAACACCCCUCGCCAGCAUAUCUGCGUGAUUCCGAUUGGUGCAAAUUUUAUCCAACACAAACUGAUUUAUAUCUAUAUGUUUCACCACCCAAGCUAAAGAUAUAACGUGUGGUGCUGCUUCUACUUCGCAUCGACAUAGCCUACUAAACAAAUUUGAGAUUUCCCAUAGAAUGAAGCAAGGCUGUUUGUCCCUCUGAGAUGACGGAAUAUCUAUUUGACUGCAUCCCAAUAUUUCUUUCCAGAUUGAGCAACGGAUCAUAGUUUCUGUACAUUGUUUCUUUGAAAGCUUAAAAUGACUUGAUAAAGAAGUUCUUACUGG